UACGUAGGUGGCAAGCGUUGUCCGGAUUUACUGGGCGUAAAGAGCGCGCAGGCGGUCGUACAAGUCGCGUGUGAAAGCCCCCGGCUCAACUGGGGAGGGUCACGCGAUACUGUUCGACUCGAAGGCAGGAGAGGGAAGCAGAAUUCCCGGUGUAGUGGUGAAAUGCGUAGAUAUCGGGAGGGAUACCAGUGGCGAAGGCGGCUUCCUGGCCUGUUCUUGACGCUGAGGCGCGAAAGCUAGGGUAGCAAACCGG
rnacentral:rRNA from 1 species